rnacentral:other from 1 species
GCGGGGCUGCGGGGUGCGUUAGGAGCACAUUUCCCCUGGGCCGAUACCAACCGCUUGGGAGUUGUCCCUGACCGGGGUCGUGGCCUUGGUCAUACGGCGCCCACCUACUUGUGUAGGGACCUGGCGGGAUUACACAGCUCCGACGGCCACCGCGGCUCUUUA